rfam:Pseudomonas sp. HPB0071 genomic scaffold aczIi-supercont1.1, whole genome shotgun sequence.
AUGCUCCUUUGCUGUUUAGUGUUGGCAGAUUAACGGACCCCGCCCUAGCGGUCCGAACUUAAACCCCGAUCUUUUCCCCUCCCCAAUGAAGAUCGGGGUUUUUUUUGCGUCUGGAA